rnacentral:rRNA from 1 species
GUAGGUGGCAAGCGUUGUCCGGAAUUAUUGGGGCGUAAAGCGCGCGCAGGUGGUUCUUUUAAGUCUGAUGUGAAAGCCCCCCCGGGCUCAACCGGGGGGAGGGUCAUUGGAAACUGGGGGACUUGAGUGCAGGAGAGGAAAGUGGAAUUCCACGUGUAGCGGUGAAAUGCGUAGAUAUGUGGAGGAACACCAGUGGCGAAGGCGACUUUCUGGCCUGUAACUGACACUGAGGCGCGAAAGCGUGGGGAGCAAACAGGAUUAGAUAUCCUGGUAGUCCACGCCGUAAACGAUGAGUGCUAAGUGUUGGGGGGUUUCCGCCCCUCAGUGCUGCAGCUAACGCAUUAAGCACUCCGCCUGGGGAGUACGGUCGCAAAGACUG